UGGCUCAGAGGUUAAAGUGUCUGCCUAGAAAGCAGGAGACCAGGGUUCGAUCCCUG
rnacentral:tRNA from 1 species